UCCAAUCUCCAUGUUAAAACAAAUUAAGAACUAGAGGAAAACAUAAAUCACAGGCUGGUGACCUGGACAAGUGCAUCAAAGGCAUCAAUUUACUAAAAGUCUAAAAGAUUGGAAUGACGUGAAUGAAAUUUCAUCUUCAACCCAACAAAAUAUCAAAAGCUGAAGAACUGAAAGCCGAUGCUAGCACUCUAGGCACUGCAGAAGUCAGUUUGUUAACAAUGACACUGAAAUCAUUAAGCACAUAUUGUGCUAUUGUUCCCGUCAUCUAGUUAUGGCUACCAUUAGGUGAGUUUGGUUAAUUUUUUGUAAAAAUAGUCAUUCAAAGUUUCUAACCCAACCAGUUAGUUAUAUGCAUGUAAUGUAAGAUGAAGGAGAGCGUAUUCAGCGCACCCGGGUGCGCAGCGCACCCGUCCAUCUCCGCCGUCCAUUUGACGUGGACUUUUGACUUUUUCAAAAUGAACGACGGAGAUGGACAGGUGCGCGGCGCACCCGGGUGCGCUGUAUAAUUUUCAAAGAUGAAGCAUGUAAUUAGAUUGGGCCAAGAUCAAUAGUGUUCUGUUCUCUGGGCCUGGAUGGGCCGACAUUGUUCUGGUAUAUGUAAGUUGAUCAGUUUUGCCGUUUUGGUCAGACUUACCAUUCUAGAAUACAUAGCUUAAGUUCGUCUCUCUGACUCGAUCUAAAUCUAAUAUGAAUGUCAAAUAAUCAAACUUAAAACCGUUGAAAAGAAGUAAUAGAAUACAAAAACCAACCUAUAUAUAAAACAAACAAGGAUAAUAUAAGAACUAAUCGAUCCAGUUUGAGCACGUUUGACAUGAAAAAAUGAACCAAAAAAACAAAGAAAAUUGACAUGUAUGGGAGUUGGCGAGGUGCAUGUUGUCUGUGUACGUUGCAUUAUUUGACAACUUAAUUUGACCUAAUUUACCUACCUUACAUAUAUAUAUAGCUACUUUUAUCAUUAUACAUAUACUAAUUCUAUGAUUUCUGGAUAAUACACAUUUAAAUUAGUUAGUAUAUG
rnacentral:lncRNA from 1 species